rnacentral:rRNA from 1 species
UGGUUAAGAAGAAAAGGGCGCACGGUGGAUGCCUUGGCACUAGGAGCCGAUGAAGGACGCGACGAACGGCGAAACGCUCCGGGGAGCUGUACGUAAGCUUUGAUCCGGAGAUGUCCGAAUGGGGGAACCCGCCUUCCGUCAUGGGAAGGCGUCCGGCCGCUGAACACAUAGGCGGCGGACGGUAGACCCGGAGAACUGAAACAUCUUAGUACCCGGAGGAAGAGAAAGCAAACGCGAUUUCCCGAGUAGCGGCGAGCGAAACGGAAUCAGCCCAAACCGGGAUGCUUGCAUCCCGGGGUUGUAGGACCCCCGCACGGCAGGCGGGGAGGAUAGGCGAAGCGGCCUGGAACGGCCCGCCAGAGACGGUAACAGCCCGGUAGCCGGCAUCCUCCCCCCGCCGGGGGUAUCCUGAGUACGACGGGACACGAGAAAUCCCGUCGGAAGCUGGGAGGACCAUCUCCCAAGGCUAAAUACUCCCUAGUGACCGAUAGUGAACCAGUACCGUGAGGGAAAGGUGAAAAGCACCCCGGAAGGGGAGUGAAACAGAUCCUGAAACCGUGUGCCUACAAGAAGUCGGAGCCCGUUAAGGGGUGACGGCGUGCCUUUUGUAGAAUGAACCGGCGAGUUACGCUCGUCUGCAAGGUUAAGCCGCAAAGGCGGAGCCGCAGCGAAAGCGAGUCUGAAGAGGGCGAUCAAGUAGGCGGGCGUAGACCCGAAACCAGGUGAUCUACCCAUGACCAGGGUGAAGGCCAGGUAACACUGGCUGGAGGCCCGAACCCACGCAAGUUGAAAAUUGCGGGGAUGAGUCGUGGGUAGCGGUGAAAUGCCAAUCGAACCUGGAGAUAGCUGGUUCUCCCCGAAAUAGCUUUAGGGCUAGCCUCGGGUAYGAGAGUCCUGGAGGUAGAGCACUGAUUGGACGAGGGGUCCUUCCCGGAUUACCGAAUUCAGUCAAACUCCGAAUGCCAGCGACUUGCUGCCCGGGAGUCAGACGGCGAGUGCUAAGAUCCGUCGUCGAGAGGGAAACAGCCCAGACCACCGGCUAAGGUCCCUAAGUCUGCGUUAAGUGGAAAAGGAUGUGGAGUUGCUUAGACAACUAGGAUGUUGGCUUAGAAGCAGCCAUCAUUGAAAGAGUGCGUAAUAGCUCACUAGUCGAGUGACUCUGCGCCGACAAUGUACCGGGGCUAAACGCAGCACCGAAGCCGUGGACUCUCCCGCAUGGGAGAGAUGGUAGGGGAGCGUUCCAGGGGCCCCGAAGCCGGACCGUGAGGACCGGUGGAGCGCCUGGAAGUGAGAAUGCCGGUAUGAGUAGCGAAAAGAAGGGUGAGAAUCCCUUCCGUCGAAAACCCAAGGUUUCCUGAGGAAGGCUCGUCCGCUCAGGGUUAGUCGGGUCCUAAGCCGAGGCCGAUAGGCGUAGGCGAUGGAAAACAGGUUGAUAUUCCUGUACCACCUCCGUUCCAUUUGAGUGAUGGGGGGACGCAGGCAGGCACGGCCGCGCGCUAAUGGACAUGCGCGUUGAAGCUGGCAAGGCCGGGGGAGCGGCAAAUCCCUCCCCCAGACGGCCAAGCGGUGACCAGGAGGGCCCUACGGGGCCCGAAGGGCCGGCACCUACCCUGCCAAGAAAAGCCUCUAGCGAGGAACGUGGUGCCCGUACCGUAAACCGACACAGGUAGGUGGGAUGAGUAUUCUAAGACGCGCGGGAAAACUCUCGUUAAGGAACUCGGCAAAAGGACCCCGUAACUUCGGGAGAAGGGGUGCUCCCCGGGGUGCAUAGCCCCAGGGAGCCGCAGUGAAAGGGCCCAAGCGACUGUUUAUCAAAAACACAGGUCUCUGCGAAGCCGUAAGGCGAAGUAUAGGGGCUGACACCUGCCCGGUGCUGGAAGGUUAAGAGGAGGCGUUAUCCCCCUCCGGGGGAGAAGCGCCGAAUUGAAGCCCCAGUAAACGGCGGCCGUAACUAUAACGGUCCUAAGGUAGCGAAAUUCCUUGUCGGGUAAGUUCCGACCCGCACGAAAGGUGCAACGACUUGGGCACUGUCUCAACGAGAGACCCGGUGAAAUUAUAAUACCUGUGAAGAUGCAGGUUCCCCGCGACAGGACGGAAAGACCCCAUGGAGCUUUACUGUAGCUUGACAUUGGAUGUGGGUACCACUUGUACAGGAUAGGUAGGAGCCAUCGAAUCCGGACCGCCAGGUUCGGAGGAGGCGCUGGUGGGAUACUACCCUGGUGGUAUCGACAUUCUAACCGCAGGCCGUGAUCCGGCCUCGGGACCGUGUCAGGUGGGCAGUUUGACUGGGGCGGUCGCCUCCCAAACAGUAACGGAGGCGCCCAAUGGUUCCCUCAGAAUGGUCGGACAUCAUUCGCAGAGUGCAAAGGCACAAGGGAGCUUGACUGCGAGACCCACAAGUCGAGCAGGGACGAAAGUCGGGCUUAGUGAUCCGGCGGCACCGCAUGGAAGGGCCGUCGCUCAACGGAUAAAAGCUACCCUGGGGAUAACAGGCUAAUCUCUCCCAAGAGUUCACAUCGACGGGGAGGUUUGGCACCUCGAUGUCGGCUCAUCGCAUCCUGGGGCUGAAGUAGGUCCCAAGGGUUGGGCUGUUCGCCCAUUAAAGCGGUACGCGAGCUGGGUUCAGAACGUCGUGAGACAGUUCGGUCCCUAUCCGUCGCGGGCGCAGGAAAGGUGAAAGGAGCUGUCCUUAGUACGAGAGGACCGGGAUGGACACACCGCUGGUGUACCAGUUGUUCCGCCAGGAGCACUGCUGGGUAGCUACGUGUGGACGGGAUAAGUGCUGAAAGCAUCUAAGCAUGAAGCCCCCCUUAAGAUGACCUUUCCCCUCUACGGAGAUAAGACCCCUUGGAGAUGACGAGGUAGAUAGGUCCGGCGUGGACGCAUGGCGACAUGUGCAGCGGACGGAUACUAAUCGGUCGAAGUCUUAUCCAC